UUAUUUCUUUCUCUAAUCAGCACACAGAUGUCAUUUGUGUCAUCCUUGAACAAUUCCGGCGUGGCUGGAGGGUUGAGAUGACUUUGAUAUGCUCUCAGUUAUAUUGGGUAUAUUACUUAAAUCUGUCUUUGAUUUUCUUGUUUGCUUUUUUGAUGGGUGAGGUUUUUGGGAUGCUUUGCUUGCUGUCUGAUCCACAUUCACCAUGCUGGAACUGUACCAUGUAAAUAAUAGGACGUGCUCUGGUUUUCUUUUUCAGAAGGCAAAAAACAAUGGUUAACAUUUAGCCGGGAUAUGCUGCUACACUCUCGAUUUCUAUCAAAUACUGGCAUAUUUUCAAGAGUAUCUUCAUGGCAAACUUUUGGUGAAUGGUUUGGAGCAGGGUUUUGAAAGUUGCCCGGCCAUGCUGAAUCGCCCGGUUCAAACAGGACCAGAAUAGGUUGGCAGGG
rnacentral:lncRNA from 1 species